rnacentral:rRNA from 1 species
UGCCGCUUCAUUGCGGUGGUCUUUUAUAAUUACCAUACCCAUAUACACAAGUCAUUGAAUGUAAAAUCGUUAUAAACUAAUAUAACUUUCAACAACGGAUCUCUUGGUUCUCGCAUCGAUGAAGAACGCAGCGAAUUGCGAUAAGUAAUGUGAAUUGCAGAAUUCAGUGAAUCAUCGAAUCUUUGAACGCAUCUUGCGCUCUUUGGUAUUCCGAAGAGCAUGCCUGUUUGAGUGUCAUGAAACUCUCACCUGCAGCACUCUUUUAUUAGAGGGCUGGAGCGUGGACGUGAGUGCUGCUGGUGCCCUCGCUGCAUCGGCUCACUUGAAAUUUAUUAGCUGAAUCCUCUAGUGUUGGUUCUACUCGACGUGAUAAGAUCUCCGUCGAGGACAGUGCUCCUUGUGGGCGUUGGCCACCGCUAGCUGUUGAUACGCUCCUAAUUAGCGCAGACUUCGAGUGCUGGCAACUUUUGACAACUUGGCCUCAAAUCAGGUAGGACUACCCACUGAACUUAAGCAUAUCAAUAAGCGGAGGAA